rnacentral:RNase_P_RNA from 1 species
CGAGUAAGACAGAUAAUCGCAGCUGCAGGCGCCGAAAGGCCGCAGGUGAGGAAAGUCCGGGCUUCACAGGGCAACCCCAUCCGAAGCAAGACCGGAUAAAGACAAUGUGGCGGCCCGUCACGUCUUAGGUAGGUCGCUUGAGUCCGCCGGCGACGGCGGACCUAGAUAGAUGAUUAUCCAAUGACAUAACCCGGCUUAUCGUCUUGCUGGCAUA